GAUGAACGCUGGCGGCGUGCCUAAUACAUGCAAGUCGAGCGAACAGACGAGGAGCUUGCUCCUCUGACGUUAGCGGCGGACGGGUGAGUAACACGUGGAUAACCUACCUAUAAGACUGGGAUAACUUCGGGAAACCGGAGCUAAUACCGGAUAAUAUAUUGAACCGCAUGGUUCAAUAGUGAAAGACGGUUUUGCUGUCACUUAUAGAUGGAUCCGCGCCGCAUCAGCUAGUUGGUAAGGUAACGGCUUACCAAGGCAACGAUGCGUAGCCGACCUGAGAGGGUGAUCGGCCACACUGGAACUGAGACACGGUCCAGACUCCUACGGGAGGCAGCAGUAGGGAAUCUUCCGCAAUGGGCGAAAGCCUGACGGAGCAACGCCGCGUGAGUGAUGAAGGUCGUCGGAUCGUAAAACUCUGUUAUUAGGGAAGAACAAAUGUGUAAGUAACUAUGCACGUCUUGACGGUACCUAAUCAGAAAGCCACGGCUAACUACGUGC
rnacentral:rRNA from 1 species